ensembl:snRNA U6 U6 spliceosomal RNA
GUGCUCGCUUCAGCAGCACAUAUACUAAAACUGAAACAAUACAGAGAAGAUCAACAUGGCCCCUGUGCAAGGAUGACACGCAAAUUUGUGAAGCGUUCCAUAUUUUU